UCAGGGAGAAGAACACAGAGACCCAAGGUCAGAGGUCUGCUCAGAGCCAUUAACCUAAAACAUCAGGGAGAAGAACACAGAGACCCAAAGUCAGAGGUCUGCUCAGAGCCAUUAACCUAAAACAUCAGGGAGAAGAACACAGAGACCCAAGGUCAGAGGUCUGCUCAGAGCCAUUAACCUAAAACAUCAGGGAGAAGAACACAGAGACCCAAGGUCAGAGGUCUGCUCAGAGCCAUUAACCUAAAACAUCAGGGAGAAGAACACAGAGACCCAAGGUCAGAGGUCUGCUCAGAGCCAUUAACCUAAAACAUCAGGGAGAAGAACACAGAGACCCAAAGUCAGAGGUCUGCUCAGAGCCAUUAACCUAAAACAUCAGGGAGAAGAACACAGAGACCCAAAGUCAGAGGUCUGCUCAGAGCCAUUAACCUAAAACAUCAGGGAGAAGAACACAGAGACCCAAGGUCAGAGGUCUGCUCAGAGCCAUUAACCUAAAACAUCAGGGAGAAGAACACAGAGACCCAAAGUCAGAGGUCUGCUCAGAGCCAUUAACCUAAAACAUCAGGGAGAAGAACACAGAGACCCAAAGUCAGAGGUCUGCUCAGAGCCAUUAACCUAAAACAUCAGGGAGAAGAACACAGAGACCCAAAGUCAGAGGUCUGCUCAGAGCCAUUAACCUAAACCAUCAGGGAGAAGAACACAGAGACCCAAAGGGACAGUAAAUCACUGGUGUCAUACAAACAGAAGAACAGGAAACAUCUGCUCAUAAAUGACAUGAUGGGAACCUUUACUGUCAACGGGAUCGACAAGAAUACAAGCUGUUGAAAAGCAGCAUGCAGAAUAUGUGAAUGUGUCAUUUGAACAGCUUGACUCUUGCCACUUUGUUGCCAGUUGAGGGAUGGAACGGAAACGUAACCUCUCUCAAAUGAGACAGAUGGAACGAUUGAUGACAGGACUAACAGGAAAUCAACAUGCUAGUUUAUACAGAAGCUAUUGGUGUGU